rnacentral:rRNA from 1 species
CGUUCCGCGCCGCGGAUAACCGUAGUAAUUCGUAGGGCUAAUACGUGCGAAGCGCCGAGCCGCGAGGCGACGGCGUUCUCGCCGGAUGUAGGAACCGACCCGGGGGACCGCCCGGGGGCAACCCGGCGCCCCCGAGACGGGGCGAACCACGGUGAAAUGACGGAUCGUCGGCCCCGCGCCGGCGACUCGCCGAAUGAGUUUCUGACCUAUCAACUCGAGACGGCGGGGUAGAGGCCCGCCGCGGUAACGACGGGUAACGGGGAAUCAGGGUUCGAUUCCGGAGAGGGAGCCCGAGAAACGGCUACCACUUCCAAGGAAGGCAGCAGGCGCGCAACUUACCCUAAUCUCGAUUCGAGGAGGUAGUGACAAGAAAUACCGAUGCGGGACCCUACGGGUGCCGCGUUCGGAAUGAGUACGAUUCGAACCACCUAACGAGGAACGUUCGGAGGGCAAGUCUGGUGCCAGCAGCCGCGGUAAUUCCAGCUCCAAUAGCGUACGUUAAAGUUGCUGCAG